AUGAGCGGGUUCGGGGAGAUAAUCGCGAGCGCCGUGGGGAAACAAGUCGCGGGCAUGCUCGGUGAACUCGCCACGGAGGAGGCCACCCUGCAGUGGAAGUUCAAAGACGAUGUUGAUGUCAUGGCGGACAAGAUGCAAGAUCUGGAGGCCGUUUUGCAUGAUGCGGAUGAUAGGCUGCGUCGACGAGGAAGAGAUGGGGAAGCUGUUGGGCGGUGGCUCACCAAAUUCAAGUCCGUCGCCUACGACGUCGAGGACGUGCUGGACGAUCUGGACGCCACCGAGCUCUUAAAGAAGAGCCAACCAAAGUUGAAGCUGUUCUUUUCCUGGAACAAUCAAAUUCUCCGGCGGAUUACCAUGCCUCACAAGCUGAAGAACCUGAGGGGGGAAAUAGAAAAAGUAGGAAAGGAGGGCCAGGCUCUCAAUCUUGUGAGAAAUCAAGAACGGGCAGAAGGGAGCAGAAACAAUGAAACUUUUGUAGGCAUCUGUGAUGAAGGCUUGAAAUCUGGAGUGGUGGGGAGGGAUAUGGAGAAGGACAAAAUAUUCAGGCUGCUGCUAAACUAUGAUGAUAACGCUAGAGAAGAUAUAUCUAUCGUCUCGAUUGUCGGGCUUGGUGGCCUAGGGUAG
rnacentral:rRNA from 1 species